rnacentral:rRNA from 1 species
GGAUGACACUUUUCGGAGCGUAAACUCCUUUUCUUAGGGAAGAAUUCUGACGGUACCUAAGGAAUAAGCACCGGCUAACUCCGUGCCAGCAGCCGCGGUAAUACGGAGGGUGCAAACGUUACUCGGAAUCACUGGGCGUAAAGGGCGCGUAGGCGGAUUAUCAAGUCUCUUGUGAAAUCUAAUGGCUUAACCAUUAAACUGCUUGGGAAACUGAUAAUCUAGAGUGGGGGAGAGGCAGAUGGAAUUGGUGGUGUAGGGGUAAAAUCCGUAGAUAUCACCAAGAAUACCCAUUGCGAAGGCGAUCUGCUGGAACUUAACUGACGCUAAGGCGCGAAAGCGUGGGGAGCAAACAGGAUUAGAUACCCUGGUAGUCCACGCCCUAAACGAUGUACACUAGUUGUUGGGGUGCUAGUCAUCUCAGUAAUGCAGCUAACGCAUUAAGUGUACCGCCUGGGGAGUACGGUCGCAAGAUUAAAACUCAAAGGAAUAGACGGGGACCCGCACAAGCGGUGGAGCAUGUGGUUUAAUUCGAAGAUACGCGAAGAACCUUACCUAGGCUUGAUAUCCAACAAAUUCUGUAGAGAUACGGAAGUGCUAGCUUGCUAGAAUGUUGAGACAGGUGCUGCACGGCUGUCGUCAGCUCGUGUCGUGAGAUGUUGGGUUAAGUCCCGCAACGAGCGCAACCCACGUAUUUAGUUGCUAACAGUUAGGCUGAGCACUCUAAAUAGACUGCCUUCGUAAGGAGGAGGAAGGUGUGGACGACGUCAAGUCAUCAUGGCCCUUAUGUCUAGGGCGACACACGUGCUACAAUG